GACGAACGCUGGCGGCGUGCUUAACACAUGCAAUUCGAACGAGUGGCGAACGGGUGAGUACUACGUUUGUAACCUGCCCUCUUUUUAGGAUAAGCCUUGGAAACGUUGUCUAAUCCCGAAUAAAGGGGGAUGGGCUCGCGGCCUAUCAGCUUGUUGGUGGGGUGAUGGCCUACAAAGGCGGUUACGGGUAGCCGGCCUGAGAGGGUGACCGGGCACAUUGGGACUGAGAUACGGCCCAGAGUCGGACGGGAGGGAGCAGUGGGAGAGACUGCGAAAUGGGUGAAAGCCUGGUGCGGCGAAGCCGCACGGGGGAUGACGGAUUGCGGGUUGUAAAGUUCUUGAGCGAACGGGUAGCAGCAGAAGAGGCGCCGGAGAAGUAAGAGACAGCAGCCGCGGUAAUUC
rnacentral:rRNA from 1 species